UGGGGAAUAUUGCACAAUGGGCGAAAGCCUGAUGCAGCGAUGCCGCGUGAGGGAAGAAGGUUUUCGGAUUGUAAACCUCUGUCUUUGGGGACGAUAAUGACGGUACCCAAGGAGGAAGCUCCGGCUAACUACGUGCCAGCAGCCGCGGUAAUACGUAGGGAGCAAGCGUUAUCCGGAAUUACUGGGUGUAAAGGGAGUGUAGGCGGGAUUGCAAGUCAGAUGUGAAAAUUAUGGGCUCAACUCAUAACCUGCAUUUGAAACUGUAAUUCUUGAGUGAAGUAGAGGUAAGCGGAAUUCCAUGUGUAGCGGUGAAAUGCGUAGAUAUAUGGAGGAACAUCAGUGGCGAAGGCGGCUUACUGGGCUUUUACUGACGCUGAGGCUCGAAAGCGUGGGGAGCAAA
rnacentral:rRNA from 1 species